GACAGAGGUGGCGAGCGUUGUCCGGAGUUACUGGGCGUAAAGGGCGCGGAGGCGGUCUGCGGCGUCGGCGCUGAAAGCGCCCCGCUUAACGGGGCGAGGCGUGCCGAUACGCGCAGACUUGAGGCGAGCAGAGGGUGGUGGAAUUCCGGGUGGAGCGGUGAAAUGCGUAGAGAUCCGGAGGAACGCCAGUGGGGAAGCCGGCCACCUGGGCUCGUCCUGACGCUGCGGCGCGACAGCGUGGGGCGCAAACCGG
rnacentral:rRNA from 1 species